AGCUCCAAUAGCGUAUAUUAAAGUUGCUGCAGUUAAAAAGCUCGUAGUUGAAUUUGUGGCGCGGCCAUCCGGCGGGGGCUCUUCAUUGAGCCCGUUUGUCCUGGUUUUUGGCCGUUCCUUUCUCGGGUAGCGUGUGGCUGGCAUUAGGUUGUUGGCUGCUUCGCGCCCGUCUUUUACUGUGAAAAAAUUAGAGUGUAAUAAUAAGAUAGGGCCACGACGGUCUAUUUUGUUGGUUUGCACGUUGUGGUAAUGGUUAACAGGAAUAGUUGGGGGUAUUCGUAUUCAAUUGUCAGAGGUGAAAUUCUUGGAUUUGUGGAAGACGAACUACUGCGAAAGCAUUUACCAAGGAUGUUUUCA
rnacentral:rRNA from 1 species